GUAAAUUUUUCUUAUUUAAUAAACAGGUAAAUACAGGAAAUGAUUUCUAUAAGCUGUUUAGGAUAAAAGGUGUGAAUGGCUUAAACAGAGUUAGAAUACUGCACACAGCAAAGUUCCAUUAGUGCUCUAUAUACAUUUUGGUCUAAAAAGAAGCCAUGAAUUGAAAUAUGACUGCUCUUGGACAUGUCUAUUUUUAGGGUCUUUCCUAAAUACCAAUCUCAACCAACUCUCAGGGAAAAAAAAAAAAAAGAAGAAAAAAAAUGAUACUUAUCUGAAAGUCUAAUCUAAAUUGCUAAGGGACUCUUCAGUAUCUGGGAAAUGGAUUGUGCAACCAGACUUUGUUAUUGCUACUUCAUUAAAUCGAUUUUUUUUUUCAUUUGCUUUGAGCAUAAUCUAUUAUAAAAGACAAUAUAAAAAGCUUUAAUAUUCAUGGGUUUUCCUGAAACUUAUCAAGGUAGUGUCACAAUAAUAGCUUUGGAUUUUCUACCUUGGAUUUUUUUUUCCUCCCUCUUUUUCUUCUUCUUUUUUUUUUCUAUUUUGUUUUGUUUUGUUUUGUUCUCUACCCCCUUUUUUUCCUUUCUUUUUUUGACCUUUGUUUUUCCUUCGAGUUUUUCUUUUCCCCUCUUUUCUGGUAUUCCUUUCUAUUUCCUGCCACUUUUACCCCUUUCUUUUAUCCUGGCCUUUUUUCUCUUCCUUUUGCCUUUUUAAAAAUCUGUCCGUCCUCCCACUUCUUUUCCCUUUUGUUCUCUUUUUCUUCCCCCUUCUCUCCUUUUUCCUUUCUUACCCCAUCCCCCUUUUUAAUUUUUGCCACUUAUAUUUCCUCCUUUUUUUUUUUUUUCCUUCCACAUCCAAUUCUCUUUUUCACUCCCUUUCUUUUUUCACUUCUCGCUGCCUCUCUCUGGCGCUGAGCUUCCCAAGCACCAAACCGCGGGAUUCCUCGUCCGCCUGUCCGGGCGGCCACGGGAAUUCCGCCCAGGAGUUUCUCUCUCAGCAUCCCGCACCGCUGAGCCUCACACUCCUCCCGUGUGUGCAGGGACCCGCGGGCAAGUGGCGGUGUCCCCACAGGUGUCCCGGGGGUGUCCCCAGAGGUGUCCCCACAGAUGUCCCCAGGGGUGUCCCCAGGGGUGUCCCCAGGGGUGUCCCCACAGGUGUCCCCACAGAUGACCCACAGGUAUCCCCAGGGGUGUCCCCAGAGGUGUCCCCAGACAUGUCCCACAGGUGUCCCACAGGGGUCCCACAGGUGUCCCCAGGGGUGUCCCCAGGGGUGUCCCCACAGGUGUCCCCACAGCCCCCCCCCCCCCCCCCCCCCCCCCCCCCCCCCCCCCCCCCCCCCCCCCCCCCC
rnacentral:lncRNA from 12 species